GGUCAUGAGCGCCAGCGCGAAGCCCCGGCUCGCUGGCCGGCAACCCUCCUCCGCGACGGGGUGCCCCGGGUGACGACCUGGCGGCUGCAGCCCCGCAGCCGCAAAGCGCGGACC
rnacentral:ncRNA from 2 species